rnacentral:lncRNA from 1 species
UUCUAGGUUUUCACUUUGUCAGACAUUUUGAGUUUCGAUCACAAACACUCCACGUUCACAUCACCCAUGCAUGCUGCCCACCCGUAUCCACAAGGCUGCUGUGUCUACUCUGCUCCUGUUUUCCAAAGCACCCCUUCCAUCAGGAAAUGUGCCUUCCAUUCCUAGGGAUGUCAUGAUUCCCAGCUUUCAUAUCUCCUCACAGAGGAGGUUCCCAAAUUACUCUGGGUUCUCAGUCCAGAAGUUGAGCCUUUAAAACCCUUUUCUGUCAUAUGGUCAGUCCGUUGCAGGGUGCAGCCCCUCAGCAGCCAAGAUUCCCUGUGGAUAGCUCUUCAAUCUGAUUGCCUGGGCUUUCUCCAUCAUGAAACCUUUCAUCUCCUUGGUCCUUGUCACACACCCUGAACCCCAAAAUAGAAAAGCCACAACAGAAUGAAGUAGAUGAGAAACAAUCUCCUUGUUUAUAAUUCCGUUUAUUUCCUCACAUACCAGCCAAGCUUCUCAGUCAGGCAGACACAAUAGAUGGAAUGGCAAGGGAAGUGAAGAGUGGAGGCUGCAUCCCUUCAGCCGCCAGCUGAUGUUCUGCUUAUUUCGCAUACCGGAACUCCCAGGCGUCCUCAAACCACAAUCACAGUUGUUGGUUCCAGAAACAUCUUCUUUGGAAAAACAUGUGACAUCAGUUUCCUCAGAGUCUUCCGGACAAUCCAGUCACACAGAACUGACAAAACCUUGUCAGGUGAGAAGAUAAGGAUCUUCUUCAAUACAGAAUAUGUCAACAUCUCCUUCUGAAUAGUUCCGUUUAUUUGCUCACAUACCAGCCAAGCUUCUCAGUCAGCAGGCACAAUAGACUGAAUAGGAAGGGAAGUGAAGAGUGAAGUCUGGAUCCGUUUAGCCUCCAGCUGAUGUUCUGCUUAUUUCCUGUACUGGAACUCUCAGAAGUCCUCAAACCACAAUCACAGUUGUUGGUUCCAGAAACAUCUUCUUUGGAAAAACAUGUGACAUCAGUUUCCUCAGAGUCUCCCGGACAAUCCAGUCACGCAGAACUGACAAAACCUUGUCCAGUAAGAAGGUAAGAAUCUUCUUCAAUAGAGAAUACGUCAACGUCUCCGUGAACGAAGAGAUCUGCUGGUUCCAAGGACUUGUCGUGGAUUUCUGUCCUAGAUACUUUCUUCCGUAAUUCAAGAUAAAGAAAAUUACAAUCUCUGCUGUCCAUUCCAUCGCUUUUCCCUUCAGAAUCAUAAUCAGAGAAUCCUUGCAGAACGUCGUGAGUGUGCUCUCAGCUGCAAUCACCAGAAGGACUCUUCACACUCGGUGAGUCCUCCUCAUUUUAUAGAAGCCAAAGCAGUGACGUAUGCUCACCCCUCCCGCCCCCAGGAGAGAGGUUGCUGGAACACUUCCAAGAAGUUUCUCCUCCUCUAUGAUGAAACCAACACAAGAAAGCCAAAAGGGCGUUUAACCCCUUGAAGCACUGAGAGUUUCCCUGCUGAUAUUCUUAGACUGUUCUUUUUCUAAAACGAGAAAGAGGUAAGUUCUCUUUUUUUUUUUACACUGCCCAAAACUCUCUCUGCUCAGUGCUGGGCACUGGAAAACAAUGGCCCUCUCUCUGGAAACCACUAUCUGCCAUCUCAAGGGCCCACUACAGGUCUGCCCAGCAUUUUCAUCCCUUCCUCAAGUCUGGUGCCCAGGACCCUCCUCUGCUCUGACAGCCAGGCAGCAGCACUCAAACUCCCCUCCCCUCUUAGCCUUCAUACCUUCAGCUGCACUUCUGCCUCUGCAGUGUCAGGAUGACCUCCCCUUCCUCCUGUCCUUCCUCAUUCUUAAGACUUCCUACCCCUUCUGGAUUAAUUUAUGGAAAACCUAAAUAAUCUCUUUCAAAUUUUAGCCCACUUUUUACAUGUAGAUUGUUUUAUAAGAUGAAUUUUAACAAACCUUUUCUAAGUUGUUCAACCAUUUUCUUUUGUCUUUUUGUUAUUUUAUUUCCUGAAUUUAAAAUAUUUGAAAACCUCUAAACUUGACAAAACUAAUUUUUUCAUAAAAGCUAUGUUCUCAUGUCCUUUUAUAAACUUUGACUUAAAAUAUAUUUUACUUGUUCAGUCAGAUUUGUGUGUGAAAAUUUUUAAGUAGCUUUAGAUACAAAUAUUAAUUAUAAUGGUAACUCUUAAGUAUGCAUUUUUAGUAAACCACUUAGGAGACAACCAAUUUUAAUUAUGUCCUUGAUGUAGAGCUUAAAGAAAAAGAUGGAGCUGUAGAAAACAUCUUAGUCUUGAAAUAUCUUACUCUUCCCAGUAUAAGGGGGGGCAUGGCCCUAUUUCACAGGUGCCCAGGCCUUAGCUAGAAAUGGAUGGUUCCAAGACAUGUCAAAAAACUGUUUGAAAGGUUUUAGAAGUUGUUAAUGACAUGAAAAUAUUUAGUAAAGGCAGUAUUUGAUCUGUCUAAUUUGGAUCCAAUAUCUAAACUCUGAAGACAUAUUUAUUUUAUUUUGCUAAUUUUAAAAGUGGCUUUAUUUUUUAAAAUAAUGUUUAUGUUUCUUUCAAUAGUGUGUGGAAUAUAUGUGGUUUUUGGUUAUGUGGAUAAAAGUUCCUUAGUGGUAAUUUCUGAGAUUUUGAGGCAUCUGUCUCCUGAGCAGUGUAUAAUAUACCCAAUAUGUCAUCAUUUAUUCCUCAUCCCCCUCCCAACCUUUCCCCGAGUCCCCAAGUCCAUUAUAUCAUUCUUAUGCCUUUGCAUUCUCAUAGCUUAACUCUCAUUUAAAAGUGAAAACAUUCAAUAUUUGAUUUGCCAUUCCUCAGUUACUUCACUUAGAAUAAUGGCUUCCAGUUCCAUCCAACUUGUUGCAAAGGACAUUAUUUUGUUCCUUUUUAUUAUCAAGUAUUAUUCCAUGGUGUACCACAUUUGCUUUAUCCACUCGUUCGUUGAUGGGCACUUAAGUUGGUCCCAUAUCACUGCAAUUGCGAAUCGGCUGCUAUAAACAUCCAUAUUCUUGUGUCUUUUUUAUGGAAUAACUUCUUUUCCUUUGGGUAGAUAGCCAGUAAUGGGAUUGCUGGAAUGAAUGGUCUACUUUUAGUUCUUUAAGGAAUCCCCAUACUGUUUACCAUAGUGGUCGGACUAGUUUAAAUUCCCACUAGCAGUGUCAAAGUGCUCCCUUUUGACCACAUCUAUGCCAACAUCUAUUGUUUUCUGACUUUUAAAUUAUGGGCUUCUAGCAAGAUUAAGAUAGCAUCUCAUUGUGGUUUUGUUGUGGGAUUUAGGAGGAUGAGAGAGAGGCUUUGGGUUAAAACAGGAGAAUCUUUUAUUGAGUGCUCUCAGGCCCAGCAGACUCACGUCCAAAGACAGGGCCUGGAACAAAGACAGCACUUGACUUUUAUACACACUUCACAAAAGGGGGUGGGCCAGCUUGAAGCAAGCUUACAGUGGUGUGAAAGCAGGGAUACAGAGGCAGGAAAAAGACAGUUAAUCAAAUUGUAACAGGUUCAUAACUCAGGAUUGCACAUAACUGUUGCUAUGCAACCCAGAUGUCUAUUAUCUAGGUUUUGCUCUAAAGAGGCUUGCAUUGGUUUAUCUUCACUAUGGUGCCUAGAGAGCUGUAGUUCAGGCCUGCUCAGGCUUCUCAUGACCUUUGCCAUACUUCUUAGAUAAAACAGAAUACUUGAAGUUACUAGUUAAAGAGAACAAGAAUCUAUAAACUCAUACCAUAAAACAAAGGAAAAUUUGUUUUUCUUCUCCCUACAUUGAAGGAGUGCUGGAAGAGUCUCCAGAAUACAAUAAAUAAUAUUAUCAAGACUUUUCCUGGGUCUGGGCUGUGCCUGUUGCUGCCUCUGGGACAAGUUAGCUUAAUACAAGAAAGCUUAUUUCCCUUUCUUUUUAAUUUUAUUUUUCUUUAAUUUCCCACCUCAGUUUUACUUUGCAUUUCCCUGAGAAUUUUUAAUAAGUAAAAUACUUAGAAAUAUACUUAACCAAGUAGGUUAAUGUAAGUUUCCUACAAGGAAAACUACAAAAUAGUGCUGAAAGAAAUCACAGUUGACACAAACAAAUGGGAACACAUUAUAAGCUUAUGAAUAGGUAGAAUCAAUAUUGUGAAAGUGACCAUACUCUCCAAAGCCAUCUACAGAGCAGUAGAAUUCUCAUCAAAAUAUCAUCAUUCUCCUUCCCAGAACUAGAAAAAAGAAUCCUAAAAUUUAUACAAAACCAAAAACGUGACCGCAUAUCCAAAGCAAUACUUUGCAAAAAGAACAAAUCUGAAGGCAGGCUUUAAAUUAUACUACAAGGCUACAAUCACCAAAAUAGCAUGAUACUGGUAUAAAAUAUGCACAUAGAGCAAUAGAACAGAAUAGAGAACCCAGAAAUAAAGCCAAAUGCUUACAGACAACUAAUCUUCAACAAAGUACACAAAAACAUUAAUUGGGGAAAGGAUACUUUAUUCAAUAAAUGGUGCAGGAAGUAUAAAAAUAGGCACAUAGAGCAAUGGAACAGAAUAGAGAACCCAGAAAUAAAGCCAAAUGCUUACAGACAACUAAUCUUCAACAAAGUAUGCAAAAACACUAAUUGGGGAAAGGACACUUUAUUCAAUAAAUGGUGCAGGAAGUAUAAAAAUAGGCACAUAGAGCAAUGGAACAGAAUAGAGAACCGAGAAACAAAGCCCGGUACUUUCAGUCACCUGAUCUUUAACAAAGCAUAUAAAAACUUCCAUCUAAGACCUGAAAGUCUAAAAAUGCUACAAGAUAGCAUCCAAAAAGCUUUUCUAGACAUUGGCUUAGGCCAAGUAGUCAUGACUAAUGCCCCAAAAGCAAACGCAAAAAUAUAAAAAUAGAAUAAGAUCAAUAGGACCUAAUGAAACCGAAAAUCUUCUGCAAGGCAGAAGAAAUAUCAGCAGGGUAAACACACAACCCACAGUAUAGGAAACAGUAGUCACAAACUAGGCAUCUGACAAAGGACUAAUGUCCAGACUCCAAAGGAACUGAAAGAAAUCAGCAAGAAGAAAAGGUGCCAUUUACCACCUUCCUGACUCAUUGGCCAGAACCAAUGUUAGUGGAAUUAACAUAUGCCCCACCCCAAGUGACUUCUAAAGGGCUAACUCACCACAAGGGAGUCAGAGCAGAUCUUGGACUGAGACCUACAGGACACAGCGACUCUUAAAUAGGUGGCUCACCAGGAGAAAGGCAUAGCAGAACCUGGACUGAGACCUACGGGAGACAGGUAUUGCUUUUUCUCUUCUAAUCAUUUUAAAUUUAAUUUACCAUCUUUCAUCAAAUAGCUCCGAUCAUAUCAUUAUUUUUUCUUUUCUGUUUUGUUGGUGGUUUUAUUGGUGGAGUUUUAUUUUACUAUUUUAGAAAAGCAGUCUUUUAAAAAAGACUUUUAAAAAGUUUUAUUACUCUUUUUUUUAAAAAAAUUAUGUUUUCCCUUGAUGUGCUUAUUUCCUUUAUAAAGAUCAUCACCAUUAAAUUACUAGGAGAUACUGCGGCUGAUUUUGUCAUGCGUGAGAUAAGAAAUUUUUUGCCAAAGCAAUUAGUGAUGAGUGCAAUGGAAAAAUCCGUGAUGAUCUUUUAAGAUGAUUAACUUUCUAAUCCAGAAAAUGCUGCUGUUUGUACUGAACAAAAUAGCUUUAUUUUUAUAUGACCAGGGGUACAUAAAAUGCUUCAAAACAACACAUAAUUUGGCAAAAAUACUAUGUCUUGCCAGCCAGAAGAAUAAGUGUGGUUUUAUUUCUAUGUAUAUGUCUAGUACCAUGCCUGCACUAGAGUUGGGAAAUUUUAAAAACAUCACCUAUUGAUACAGAAGAGAAGUGCUGGGAAGGGAAGGGCAUGGUCCCUUUGAAUGAUACAGAAAAGGUGAAGGAAAGUGAUGGGUAGAGGAGGCCGGGGUCCCUGGCUAGGGCUCCAAACCUGGGCUUGUGCCCCUGGACCUAGAUGAGGACAGGCAUUUUUGUUUUCCUGACCAAAUGUUGCAUUUCCCAAGAUCACCCUGGCCCACCAUGCCCUAUCCUGUGCCUAAAAAAACCCUGGGACCCUAGCAGGCAGACACACAGGAGGUUGGACGUCGAGAGGAGCACAUCAGUGCAAGAACACAUGGGUGGCUGCCACUUCUCUCCCUUUCCUGAGAGGGAAAAACUCUCGACGCUGAGAGGAAUCCACCAACAGGCACCAGCACUCUGGCAGGCCACCGACCAAUGGAUUGACAUAGAGUUUGGCUGGGGCAGCCAGAGGAGAGCCUGGGCCGCUGAAUAACCCGACUUCAGGGGAAAACUAUUCUCCCUUUUGGCUCCCCCAUCUGCUGAGAGCUACUUCCACUCAAUAAAACCUUGCACUCAUUCUCCAAGACCACGUGUGAUUUGAUUUUUCUGGUACACCUAGGUAACAACCGCGGGAUACAGAAAGCCCUCUGUCUUUGGGUUAAGGAAUGGGUCUAAUUGAGCUGGUUACCACAAAGCCACCUAUAGAUGGCAAAACUAAAAGAGCACAUGGUACCACAUGUCCACUGGGGCUUCAGCAGCUGUAAACAUCUACCCCUAGAUGCUGCCAUGGGGUUGUAGCCCCACAACUUGCCAGUCUGUAUGCUUCCCUAGAGGUUUGAGCAGCGGAGUACUAAAGAAGCAAGCCACACCCCCACUCCACCUCCUGUGAGGGGGACAAGGAAACUUUUCCCAUUUCAACUGGUGGCUCGUCUGGGAUCUCGGAAGAUCAUCCUGGCCUGCUAAGACCCAUCCUGUGCUUAUAAAAACCCCAAGACCCUAGCAGUCAGACACACAGGAGGCUUGACGUCGAGAGGAGCACAUCAGCGGAGGAACACACAGGCGGCUGGACAUGAAGAGGAACAUGACAACAGGCACCAGCACACCAGCAGGGCACCGACUUAUAGAACGAUGUGGAUUUUGCCUGGGGCAGUCAGAGGAGAGCCAGGGCUGCUGAACGGCCCCAAUCCAGGGAGAAACCAAUCUCCUUUCUGGCUCCCCCAUCUGCUGAGAGCUACUUCCACUCAAUAAAACCUUGCACUCAUUCUCCACGUCCACGUGUGACCUGAUUCUUCUGGAAUGCCAAGGCAAGAACCCUAGGAUACAGAAAGCCCUCUGUCCUUGUGAUAAGGAAUGUGUCUAAUUGAGCUAGUUACCACAAGUUGCCUAUAAAUGGCAAAACUAAAAGACCACACGACCACUGGGGCUUCAGGAACUGUAAACAUCCACCCCUACACACUGCCAGUAUGAGAAAAAUUUGCUGAUAUGUUUUCUGCUGACCUGAUGACAAUGUUCCUAUGGUCACACUAACCACUGCUGGGUAAUUUUCAUCAUGACUCUCGUUUUCAUCUGCUGAAACCAGCCUCCCCAAGAAAGACAACUAUUUUCAAACUGAGGAAAUAAAGUGUUACUAAACCACAGUGUUCUCUCAUGGCUGUUCCUGGAGUUCUUCAAAACACUUGAUAUUAUAAAAUAGAAUUAUUACAGAUCACUGUAUGUUAUGGAUUUAGUCAAAAUGAUAAUUUAAAAUAUGGUUUAAAAUAAAAAACUUUAUUUUCCAAAGAAGAUAGUUUUUUAAACAAGAAUAUCCAAUAAAGACAGUAUGAGGUCAGCUGACUUUAGUGUUGGUGUAUGUGUAUGUGUGUGUGUG